ACCAGUCUUUGUUCAAGGGUAUACAAAUAGCUGCACUCACCUGCUAGAACCUCCAAACAAGCUCUCAAGGUCCAUUGCAGGAAUGUAGAGUAGUAAAGCUUAUGGACUACCUGAAGAACUGUGGACCUUCGCGUGGGCCGAGCAACCCACUAGUU
rnacentral:snRNA from 1 species